CACGUAGGGCGCAAGCGUUGUCCGGAAUUAUUGGGCGUAAAGAGCUCGUAGGUGGUUUGUCGCGUUGUUCGUGAAAACUCACAACUCAAUUGUGGGCGUGCGGGCGAUACGGGGCAGACUGGAGUACUGCAGGGGGAGACUGGAAUUCCUGGUGUAGCGGUGGAAUGCGCAGAUAUCAGGAGGAACACCGGUGGCGAAGGCGGGUCUCUGGGCAGUAACUGACGUGGAGGAGCGAAAGCGUGGGGAGCGAACAGG
rnacentral:rRNA from 1 species